rnacentral:rRNA from 1 species
GGGGGGGCCACAUGGCAGUCGAGCGAGAAUUUACGAAUGANAUUUCGAUGGAUUUUGUAAAUGGAAAGCGGCGGACGGGUGAGUAACGCGUAGGUAACCUGCCCCAUACAGAGGGAUAGCCACUGGAAACGGUGAUUAAUACCUCAUAAAACUGAGAAUGCACAUGUAUGCUCAGCCAAAGAUUUAUCGGUAUGGGAUGGACCUGCGUCUGAUUAGUUAGUUGGUGAGGUAACGGCUCACCAAGGCGACGAUCAGUAGCCGACCUGAGAGGGUGAUCGGCCACAUUGGAACUGAGACACGGUCCAAACUCCUACGGGAGGCAGCAGUGGGGAAUAUUGCACAAUGGGCGAAAGCCUGAUGCAGCAACGCCGCGUGAACGAAGAAGGCUCUUGGGUCGUAAAGUUCUGUUCUGAGGGAAGAAGAAAGUGACGGUACCUCAGGAGAAAGCCCCGGCUAACUACAUGCCAGCAGCCGCGGUAAUACGUAGGGGGCAAGCGUUAUCCGGAUUUACUGGGUGUAAAGGGAGCGUAGACGGCAGCGCAAGUCUGGAGUGAAAUGCCGGGGCCCAACCCCGGAACUGCUCUGGAAACUGUGAAGCUGGAGUGCAGGAGAGGUAAGCGGAAUUCCUGGUGUAGCGGUGAAAUGCGUAGAUAUCAGGAGGAACACCGGCGGCGAAGGCGGCUUACUGGGCUGUAACUGACGUUGAGGCUCGAAGGCGUGGGGAGCAAACAGGAUUAGAUACCCUGGUAG